rnacentral:rRNA from 1 species
AGGGCGCAGGGCGAAUGCCUUGGCACUGGGAGCCGAUGAAAGACGUGAUAAGCUGCGAUAAGCUUCGGGGAGCUGCAAAUAAGCAUUGAUCCGGAGAUUUCUGAAUGAGGAAACUCACCUGGGUUCAUACUCAGGUACAAUACACUGAAAUUCAAAAUAGGUGUAUUGAGGGAACCGCCUGAACUGAAACAUCUAAGUAGGGCGAGGAAGAGACAUCAAACGAGAUUCCGUAAGUAGUGGCGAGCGAACGCGGAAGAGGGCAAACCGAGAGUAGAAAUACUUUCGGGGUACGGACUGCUUUUAGGACUUAAUCUGUUAACCGAACGGCAUGGGAAGGCCGGUCAGAGAGUGUGAGAACCACGUAGGUGAAAACGGAGAGAGCUGCGCAGGAUCCAGAGUACGGCCAGACACGUGAAACCUGGUCGGAAUACGGGGGGACCACCCUCCAACCCUAAAUACUACCCAGUGACCGAUAGCGUAUAGUACUGUGAAGGAAAGGUGAAAAGCACCCCGGGAGGGGAGUGAAAAAGAACCUGAAACCCUGUGCCUACAAGCACCUAGAGCGCGUCAAAGCGUGAUAGGGUACUUUUUGUAGAACGGUCCGGCGAGCGAUUGUAUGCAGCAAGGUUAAGGACUUAAGGUCUGGAGCCGAAGCGAAAGCGAGUUUGAAAAGGGCGUUAAGUUGCAUAUAAUGGGCCCGAAACCGGGUGACCUACCCAUGGUCAGGUUGAAGUGGAAGUAAAAUUCCAUGGAGGACCGAACCGACCUCCGUUGAAAAGGCGGCGGAUGAACUGUGGGUAGCGGAGAAAUUCCAAUCGAACCCGGAGAUAGCUGGUUCUCCCCGAAAUAGUUUUAGGACUAGCCUCAAGUUAGAUACCUGGAGGUAAAGCACUGAAUAGCCUAGCGGCCGAGAGGUUAGCGAAGCUUAUCAAACUCAGAAUGCCAGAGUAUUGAUGCUUGGGAGUCAGACAGUGUCAGAUAAAUGUCAUUGUCAAAAGGGAAACAGCCCAGAUCUACAGCUAAGGUCCCAAAGUCAGGUUAAGUGGAAAACGAUGUGAAGAUACGCAGACAACCAGGAUGUUGGCUCAGAAGCAGCCACUCAUUCAAAGAGUGCGUAAUAGCUCACUGGUCGAGCGUCUUUGCGCGGAGAAUUUAACGGGGCUAAACCUGACACCGAAGCUUAGGCAAUACAGCAAUGUAUUGGGUAGGGGAGCGUUGUAUACGCGGUGAAACAGUAGCGCAAGCGGCUGUGGAGUGUAUAGAAGUGAGAAUGCCGGAAUGAGUAGCGCGAAUGCAGUGAGAAUCUGCAUGGCCGAAAGCCUCAGGUUUCUGGAGGAAGGUUCGUCCGCUCCAGGUUAGUCGGGAGCUAAGGUGAGGCCUAACGGCGUAGCCGAUGCACAGACGGUAGAGAUUCCGUCACCACCAAAAGAGUUAAACACAGGGACACAUUUGAAGUCUCGGAGCCGGGUGUUGGUUCCGGUAGCGAUCGAGGGAAGUUAGUACCGAAGUCCGGGAUGGAAGAUGGCGAGAAAAGCUGUGUGUAUUUCUGCGGUGCCCGUACCGCAAACCGACACAGGUAGGUAGGAAGAAGAUUCUAAGGCCAACGGGAGAAGGGUUGUUAAGGAACUCGGCAAAUUGACCCCGUAACUUCGGGAGAAGGGGUGCUCCAGAGAUGGAGCCGCAGAGAAUCGGCCCAAGCAACUGUUUACCAAAAACACAGGUUUGUGCUAAAUCGAAAGAUGACGUAUACGAGCUGACGCCUGCCCGGUGCUGGAAGGUUAAGAGGAGAUGUGCAAGCAUUGAAUCGAAGCCCCAGUGAACGGCGGCCGUAACUAUAACGGUCCUAAGGUAGCGAAAUUCCUUGUCAGGUAAGUUCUGACCCGCAUGAAAGGCGUAAUGAUUUGGGCACUGUCUCAACAGCCCGCCCGGCGAAAUUGUAGUACCGGUGAAGAUGCCGGUUACCCGCGACAAGACGGAAAGACCCCAUGGAGCUUUACUGUAGCCUAAUAUUGGGUUUCGAUGUUGCAUGCACAGGAUAGAUGGGACACUGGGAAGCAGGUGCUUUGGCGCUUGUGGAGUGGCCGUUGGGAUACCAUCCUUGCGAUAUUGGAAUUCUAACCUGCGCCUUUGAAUCAAGGCGGGGGACAUUGUUAGGUGGGCAGUUUGACUGGGGCGGUCGCCUCCUAAAGAGUAACGGAGGCGUUCAAAGGUUCGCUCAGCUUGAACGGAAAUCAAGCAAAAGAGUGCAAACGCAGAAGCGAGCCUAACUGCGAGACUGACGGGUCGAGCAGUAACGAAAGUUGGAGUUAGUGAUCCGGUGGUAUGUGAGUGGAAAUGCCAUCGCUCAACGGAUAAAAG